rnacentral:rRNA from 1 species
AUACGUAGGGGGCGAGCGUUGUCCGGAAUGAUUGGGCGUAAAGGGCGCGUAGGCGGCCCGGUAAGUCUGGAGUGAAAGUCCUGUUUUUAAGAUGGGAAUUGCUUUGGAUACUGUCGGGCUUGAGUGCAGGAGAGGUAAGUGGAAUUCCCAGUGUAGCGGUGAAAUGCGUAGAGAUUGGGAGGAACACCAGUGGCGAAGGCGACUUACUGGACUGUAACUGACGCUGAGGCGCGAAAGUGUGGGGAGCAAACAGGAUUAGAUACCCUGGUAGUCCACACUGUAAACGAUGAAUGCUAGGUGUAGGGGGUAUCGACCCCUUCUGUGCCGCAGUCAACACAAUAAGCAUUCCGUCUGGGGAGUACGGCCGCAAGGUUGAAACUCAAAUGAAUUGACGGGG